rnacentral:rRNA from 1 species
UAGCAUAUCAAUAAGCGGAGGAAAAGAAACCAACAGGGAUUGCCCCAGUAGCGGCGAGCGAAGCGGCAACAGCCCAGAUUUGAAAUCCGGUGCUCUUUGGGCGCCUGAGUUGUAAUCUGCAGAUGGGUUUUCCGGUGAGGUGCACGUCCAAGUUCCCUGGAAUGGGACGCCGUAGAGGGUGAGAGCCCCGUACUGGCGCUGCGCCGAGCCUCUGUGAGGCCCAUUCGACGAGUCGAGUAGUUUGGGAAUGCUGCUCUAAUUGCGAGGUAAAUCUCUCGUAAGGCUAAAUACCGGCCAGAGACCGAUAGCGCACAAGUAGCGUGAGCGAAAGAUGAAAAGAGCCUUGGAUAAGGGCGUCAAAAAGCAUGUGAAAUCGUUAUGGGGGAAGCGCUCGUCGCCAGACGUGGCGGCGGCCGGUUAGUCGGCGUCCUCGCCGGCGCACUCGGACCGUCGCCAGGCCAGCAACAGCUCGGACUGGGGCCUACUGCCGGAGGGAACGUAGCUCCUCUCGGGGAGUGUUAUAGCCCUUCGGCGACGCCCUGGGCCGGGCUGAGGACCGCGCCUUGUGCACGGAUGCUGGCGUAAUGGCGCCUAGCGACCCGUCUUGAAACACGGACCAAGGAGUUGACCUAGCGCGCGAGUGUACGGGUGUCAAGCCCCUGCGCGCAGUGAAAGCAAACGCUGGUGGGAGCCCUUUGGGCGCACCAUCGACCGAUCCUGAUGCUCCGCGGAUGGAUUUGAGUAGGAGCGUGCUGGGUCUGACCCGAAAGAAGGUGAACUAUGCAUGGGUAGGGUGAAGCCAGAGGAAACUCUGGUGGAGGCUCGCAGCGGGUUCUGACGUGCAAAUCGAUCGUCAAACCUGUGCAUGGGGGCGAAAGACCAAUCGAACCUUCUAGUAGCUGGUUCCUGCCGAAGUUCUC